GACAGAGGGUGCAAACGUUGUUCGGAAUUACUGGGCGUAAAGCGCGUGUAGGCUGCUUCGCAAGUCGGAUGUGAAAGCCCUGGGCUCAACCCAGGAAGUGCAUUCGAAACUGCAGAGCUGGAGUCCUGGAGAGGAAGGCGGAAUUCUCGGUGUAGAGGUGAAAUUCGUAGAUAUCAGGAGGAACACCUGUGGCGAAGGCGGCCAUCUGGACGGUAACUGACGCUGAGACGCGAAAGCGUGGGGAGCAAACAGG
rnacentral:rRNA from 1 species